GCCAUGGUGGUGUAGUGGUAGCAUAUCUGGUUACGUUUGGGCACGUGCGCAUUCUUUCAUUCAAGCGUGGUCCCGAUAAAUCAGGAGGUCGCAGGUUCGAUCCCUGCCCAUGGUG
rfam:Aureobasidium pullulans var. pullulans EXF-150 unplaced genomic scaffold scaffold_26, whole genome shotgun sequence.